rnacentral:rRNA from 1 species
AACGUAGGGGGCGAGCGUUGUCCGGAAUUACUGGGCGUAAAGGGCGCGCAGGCGGUCAUUUAAGACAGAGGUGAAAACUAUCGGCUCAACCGGUAGCCUGCCUAUGAGACUGGAUGACUUGAGGGCAGGAGAGGGGAGUGGAAUUCCCAGUGUAGCGGUGAAAUGCGUAGAUAUUGGGAGGAACACCAGUGGCGAAGGCGGCUCUCUGGCCUGUUACUGACGCUGAGGCGCGAAAGCGUGGGGAUCAAACAGG